CCCACUGUCUGUGCCCAGCACAACUGAUCCCCAUUGCAGGGGAAAGCAGCAGGGUGGUAUAAGGCAGGGGACAUGCAAAUCAGGGACAGGCUGCCCUGUAUAAAUCACUCUGUCCUGCUGCCCAGGCAGCACCUGCACAGACAACCCAUAGCCCUCAGAUCUAGGCAGUGAUGGCCAACACCCAAGAGUUUUCCCCAGCACCAGGGAAGAUGGGAUUUGGGCUCCACAUCCUUGUCCUGGCAGCAGCUCUGCAAGGUGCCUGGUCCCAAGUGCAGCUGGUGGAGUCUGGAGGGGAUGCGAAGAAGCCUGGAGGUUCUCUGCGCCUCUCCUGCAAAGCCUCUGGGUUCACCUUCAGUAGCUACCACAUGAACUGGGUCCGCCAGGCUCCUGGGAAGGGGCUGGAAUGGGUGGCUCAAAUCAGCCCUGAUGGAUCCAGCCAGUGGUACUCCCCAGCUGUUCAGGGGCGAUUCACCAUCUCCAGAGACAACUCCCAGAACCUGCUGUACCUGCAGAUGAGCAGCCUCAAACCCGAGGACACAGCCCUGUAUUACUGUGCCCGAAACACAGUGACUCAAAUCCUAUUCAUGGCAAUACAAAAUCCCAGCUGA